rnacentral:rRNA from 1 species
CCUACGGGGUGCAGCAGUGGGGAAUAUUGCACAAUGGGCGCAGGCCUGAUGCAGCCAUGCCGCGUGUGUGAAGAAGGCCUUCGGGUUGUAAAGCACUUUCAGCGAGGAGGAAGGUGGUGAACUUAAUGCGUUCAUCAAUUGACGUUACUCGCAGAAGAAGCACCGGCUAACUCCGUGCCAGCAGCCGCGGUAAUACGGAGGGUGCAAGCGUUAAUCGGAAUUACUGGGCGUAAAGCGCACGCAGGCGGUUUGUUAAGUCAGAUGUGAAAUCCCCGGGCUCAACCUGGGAACUGCAUUUGAAACUGGCAAGCUAGAGUCUCGUAGAGGGGGGUAGAAUUCCAGGUGUAGCGGUGAAAUGCGUAGAGAUCUGGAGGAAUACCGGUGGCGAAGGCGGCCCCCUGGACGAAGACUGACGCUCAGGUGCGAAAGCGUGGGGAGCAAACAGGAUUAGAUACCCGGGUAGUC